rnacentral:rRNA from 1 species
CAAAGAUUAAGCCAUGCAUGUCUAAGUAUAAGCAAUCUAUACGGUGAAACUGCGAAUGGCUCAUUAAAUCAGUUAUCGUUUAUUUGAUAGUACCUUACUACAUGGAUAACCGUGGUAAUUCUAGAGCUAAUACAUGCUAAAAACCCCGACUUCGGAAGGGGUGUAUUUAUUAGAUAAAAAACCAGCGCCCUUCGGGGCUCCUUGGUGAUUCAUGAUAACUCAACGAAUCGCAUGGCCUUGCGCCGGCGAUGGUUCAUUCAAAUUUCUGCCCUAUCAACUUUCGAUGGUAGGAUAGUGGCCUACCAUGGUAUCAACGGGUAACGGGGAAUUAGGGUUCUAUUCCGGAGAGGGAGCCUGAGAAACGGCUACCACAUCCAAGGAAGGCAGCAGGCGCGCAAAUUACCCAAUCCCGACACGGGGAGGUAGUGACAAUAAAUACUGAUACAGGGCUCUUUCGGGUCUUGUAAUUGGAAUGAGUACAAUUUAAAUCCCUUAACGAGGAACAAUUGGAGGGCAAGUCUGGUGCCAGCAGCCGCGGUAAUUCCAGCUCCAAUAGCGUAUAUUAAAGUUGUUGCAGUUAAAAAGCUCGUAGUUGAACCUUGGGCCUGGCUGGCCGGUCCGCCUCACCGCGUGUACUGGUCCGGCCGGGCCUUUCCUUCUGGGGAGCCGCAUGCCCUUCACUGGGCGUGCCGGGGAACCAGGACUUUUACUUUGAAAAAAUUAGAGUGUUCAAAGCAGGCCUUUGCUCGAAUACAUUAGCAUGGAAUAAUAGAAUAGGACC